AAGAUAUUUUAUGACAUCAGCGAGUAGGUGGAUGCUGCCAAAUCAACGAAGAGAGGGUUAGCGGUCCGCAAACAGCGCCACCUUUAUUUUCUACAUCGUGUAAUAACGGGCCUGUGAAAUGCGCCACCUUAUAUACUUAUGUUAAACUUUGCUAUGCAUUUACCAUUCAUCAUUUUGCUAUUGUUGGCAACAUUUGCAUUUUGUCUUGAGCGAAUUAUUAUAUUAGAAGUUAAAAAAGUAAAAACAAAAUUGAAUACGUUGGGUAAAUGGACCGACGUAAAAUAAAUUAUCACUUUCUUCCCGUUGUUAGUUUCUAUCUUCAUAUAGGGACAGGAAA